UGGGGGAUAUUGGACAAUGGGGGGAACCCUGAUCCAGCAAUGCCGCGUGUGUGAAGAAGGCCUGCGGGUUGUAAGGCACUUUCGGUGGGGAGGAGAGGGUUGUGGCUAAUAUCCACAACCGGAGACGUUACCCACAGAAGAAGCACCGGCUAACUCUGUGCCAGCAGCCGCGGUAAUACAGAGGGUGCAAGCGUUAAUCGGAAUUACUGGGCGUAAAGGGUGCGUAGGUGGUUACAUAAGUUAGGUGUGAAAGUCCAGGGCUUAACCUUGGGACUGCGCCUAAUACUGUGUGGCUAGAGUACUGUAGAGGAAGGUGGAAUUUCCAGUGUAGCGGUGAAAUGCGUAGAUAUUGGAAGGAACAUCAGUGGCGAAGGCGACUUUCUGGACAGAUACUGACACUGAGGCACGAAAGCGUGGGGAGCAAACAGG
rnacentral:rRNA from 1 species